AGUUUGAUCAUGGCUCAGGAUGAACGCUAGCGGCAGGCCUAAUACAUGCAAGUCGAACGAGGUGCUUUUGUAGCAAUACGAAAGUAUCCUAGUGGCGAACGGGUGAGUAACGCGUGGAUGACCUGCCCCAAAGUGUGGGAUAACAGUCCGAAAGGAUUGCUAAUACCUCAUGUGGUUAUCGGAUUUAGAAACUGAUAACUAAAGCAGCAAUGCGCUUUGGGAGGGAUCUGCGUCCCAUCAGCUAGUUGGUGAGGUAACGGCUCACCAAGGCGACGACGGGUAGGGGACCUGAGAGGGUGGCCCCCCACAAUGGAACUGAAACACGGUCCAUACACCUACGGGUGGCAGCAGUAGGGAAUAUUGCUCAAUGGGCGAAAGCCUGAAGCAGCAACGCCGCGUGUGCGAUGAAGGCCUUCGGGUCGUAAAGCACUUUUCUACGAGAUGAGAAAGGACAGUAUCGUAGGAAUAAGUCUCGGCUAACUACGUG
rnacentral:rRNA from 1 species